GAACUUACCACAAAUCUCUCAAGGACAGGUACAAGAACUCUCAACUUGCCGUCUGGUAGGCAGCAAGCAAUGGCUUCGCGUAUGUCGGUGCUGUUGCAGUAACAGUGUGUCAUUAAGCAGGAAUGCUACAUGGCUGCUCUGAUCAAAUGAGAUUCAAUUACCCUAAUCCACUUGAGUUUCAAGCAGGAGACAGAAACCCAUUGAAAAACGGAAACACUUUGGGGCAAGUUUGGAUUUGGUCAAAUGUAUGUCAUUGAGAAGCAGUCGGGACUAAAGUACAUGUCCAUAGUUUGUCAGCAGUGUUACCUAGACACGUGGCAUGGGUGCCAAGUGCCAAAAUGUCCUUAAGUAUCCAGCAUGGCAAUUUUAAGUAAUAAAAAAAGAUUAAAA